AGAAUUUGAUCCUAGUUCAGGAUGAACGCUGGCAUUGUGCCUUAAGCAUGCAAGUUGAACGGAUGACGUUUCACAAUCGCAAGAAAGUGGAACGAAGUCAGUGGCAGACGGGUGAGUACAAAGUAGGAAUCUACCUCUUAGUGGGGAACAGCUCGCCGAAAGGCGGGGUAAUACCGCAUAAGUUCGUAAGAAGAAAGGGCUUAACCGCCCGCUGAGAGAUGAGCCUGCUCGCUAUCAGCUAGUUGGUAGGGUAAUGGCCUACCAAGGCGACGACGGCUAGGGGGCGUGAGAGCGCGACCCCCCACAAGGUUACUGAGAUACGGAGCCUACACCUACGGGUGGCAGCAACUGGGAAUUUUGCGCAAUGGACGAAAGUCUGACGCAGCGACAAUGCGUGUGGGAUGAAGGCCCUCGGGUCGUAAACCACUGUGGUAGUGGAUGAAAAAAAUGACAGUACACUAUUAGAAAGCACCUGCUAACUACGUGCCAGAAGCCUCGGUAAUACGUAGGGUGCAAGCGUUAUCCGGAAUCACUGGGCGUAAAGAGUAUCGUAGGCGGUUGGUUAAGUGAUGGGUUAAAGCCUGGGGCUCAACUCCAGAGAUGCCCAUCAAACUGGCUUACUUGUGGAAAUUCGGGGGUAUCGGAAUUCUUGGUGGAGGAGUGAAAUCCGUUGAUAUCAAGAAGAACACCAAUGGCGAAGGCAGAUACCUAGGGUUUUCCAGACGCUGAUGAACGAAAGCUAGGGGAGCGAAAGGGAUUAGAGACCCCUGUAGUCCUAGCCGUAAACGAUGAACACUAGCUAUUCCCGUAAGGGAGUGGCGCAAGCUAACGCGUUAAGUGUUCCGCCUGGGGAGUACGACCGCAAGGUUAAAACUCAAAGGAAUUGACGGGGAAACGCACAACCAGCGUGCCAUGUGGUUUAAUUCGAGACAAAACGAUAGACCUUACCUGGGUUUGAAAUAACACCGUUUAGUCACCUGGAAACAGGAGAUGAUCCGCAAGGAUGGUGCUACAGCUGCUGCAUGGCUGUCGUCAGUUCGUGUCGUGAACGCUAUCGCGACCUCUCGCAGUAAUGCGGGAUGAAAAAUCUGGCUCAUAUCGGAGAAGCCCUCUUUACUUUCGGUAAACUUUCGGGUUUAAUGAAUGUAAAUGGGUAAUUCCGAGGGAAGUCUGGUAAUUCCUCAAAUAUAUAAGGCUAGAAGUUAAGCUUUGGGUUUACCCAAAUUUGAGGUAUAAAUUACCAUGACCCUGUAACGACUGAAAGUCCUUUUAACUAAGGGACCGAAGAUAUUUUGAUUAAGAAUCAAGAUAUAACACGCCAGCCCCGCCUCAGGCGGGUGAAGGAAUAGUCUAAUUUUUAGAGAAAUCUAAAAUGUUU
rnacentral:rRNA from 1 species